rnacentral:rRNA from 1 species
UACGAAGGGGCUAGGCGUUGCUCGGAAUCACUGGGCGUAAAGGGUGCGUAGGCGGGUCUUUAAGUCAGGGGUGAAAUCCUGGAGCUCAACUCCAGAACUGCCUUUGAUACUGAGGAUCUUGAGUCCGGGAGAGGUGAGUGGAACUGCGAGUGUAGAGGUGAAAUUCGUAGAUAUUCGCAAGAACACCAGUGGCGAAGGCGGCUCACUGGCCCGAUACUGACGCUGAGGCACGAAAGCGUGGGGAGCAAACAGGG